rnacentral:rRNA from 1 species
CCUACGGGAGGCAGCAGUAAGGAAUAUUGGACAAUGCUCGCAAGAGUGAUCCAGCCAUGCCGCGUGCAGGAAGAAUGCCCUAUGGGUAGUAAACUGCUUUUGAACUAGAGAAAACCCCAGUACGUGUACUGGGCUGAUAGUAUAGUUAGAAUAAGCAUCGGCUAACUUCGUGCCAGCAGCCGCGGUAAGACGAAGGAUGCAAGCGUUAUCCGGAUUCAUUGGGUUUAAAGGGAGCGUAGGUGGACUUAUAAGUCAGUGGUGAAAUCUCCGAGCUUAACUCGGAAAUUGCCAUUGAUACUGUAGGUCUUGAGUACAGUUGCUGUGGGCGGAAUAUGACAUGUAGUGGUGAAAUACAUAGAGAUGUCAUAGAACACCGAUUGCGAAGGCAGCUCACAAAGCUGUAACUGACACUGAGGCUCGAAAGUGCGGGGAUCAAACAGGAUUAGAUACCCUGGUAGUCCGCACCGUAAACGAUGAUUACUCGCUGCUAGGGGGCAACCUUUAGUGGCUUAGCGAAAGCGAUAAGUAAUCCACCUGGGAGUACGCCGGCAACGGUGAAACGUCAAAGUAGUAGUAGGACGUUCGAGAGAGCGACGGAGGCACGACGGGAGGGUUAGAGG